UACGUAGGGUGCAAGCGUUGUCCGGAAUUAUUGGGCGUAAAGAGCUCGUAGGCGGUUUGUCGCGUCUGCUGUGAAAACCUAAGGCUCAACCUUGGGCUUGCAGUGGGUACGGGCAGACUAGAGUGCGGUAGGGGUGACUGGAAUUCCUGGUGUAGCGGUGGAAUGCGCAGAUAUCAGGAGGAACACCAAUGGCGAAGGCAGCACUCUGGGACGGUACUGACGCUGAGACGCGAAAGCGUGGGGAGCAAACAGG
rnacentral:rRNA from 1 species